rnacentral:rRNA from 1 species
UAAAGUCUACUCUGCUCAAUGAUUUUUGUUAAAUAGCCGCAGUAUUUUGACUGUGCGAAGGUAGCAUAAUCAAUAGUUUUUUAAUUGAAGACUGGUAUGAAUGAGGGGAUGAAAUUUUAACUGUCUCAAUUUUAAUAUUAUAAAUUUAAUUUAAGUUAAAAUUCUUAAGUUUUUUAAGGGGACGAGAAGACCCUAUAGAAUUUUAAAUUUUAUUUAAUUUUAUUUAAUUAGUUUUUAAGAAUAAAAUUUAAUAAAAUUUUUUAUUGGGAGGAUAAUUAAAUUUAAUGAACUUUAAUUUUAAAAUUACAAUAAUUAUUGGUUAAUUGAAUAAAUUUAAAUUUUAUAAGAUAAAUUACCUUAGGGAUAACAGCGUAAUAUUUUUGGAGAGAUCAUAUUAAUAAAAAUGUUUGCGACCUCGAUGUUGAAUUAAAAUAAAAUUUGAAUGAAGAAGUUCAAUAUUUAAGUCUGUUCGACUUUUAA